GGCACAGUGGGAUUUGGCCAUGUUGAAUUGCUGCUGCCAUUUACCAAAAGGGUUAGUGAAGAUUUAAUGGUACAGAAGGAGCUACAUUGAUUCAGCAUAGCGGAAUCCUGCUGUUGUUCCUGUGUUCAAUCACAUUUCCCUGCCUUGUGAAAAUUCCCUACCCUAGUCACUUCCUCCUGCACUCCACACAGGUAAGCCGUCCUACACUUGAUUCGGCUCACUUCCGGUGGCAGUCUUAAAGGGACACUCCAAAUGUCUAAAUCAGUUUGGCUUGCCUAAGUGCUUUAUGUGUGAAGAGUGACCUCUUUUUUUUUUUUUUUCAUUUUACAAAAAGUGCAGAUUUCAAUAAAAAUUUACACUUUUAUAAAUUAACCGUGUUACACCCCCUGGCUGUCAAUCAGACAACUGGGCCGAUUACUUCCUGGUUGCUUAGCUCAAUGGAGCUGAACUCAAGAGGCAGCAAUUGCCCAGAGCACCUGCCUUGCAAAUACUACUCAUUGAGCUGCAUUGGGAGGGGGGGUGGGAUGAUUGACUGUAUACAGACAAGAAAUCUGCAUUUUUUGUAAACUAUUUUC